UUAUAACCUAUGAUCACAGAAAGUCCUGAUCCUCACGUUUCUCUGCUGUCACCUGUAGGCUCCUCCAGAGCCGUGAAGAAGGGGGAACUCCAGCCCCACCAUGACAAGACCGGGUCUUCUGCGCAUGGCGACUCCACCCAUGUGAGAGCUCUCUUAUGUGAGUCCUCAGCAGCACACUGUGCUGUCUGUGCUCUGUGGACACUGACUGCCAUCUAAGCGACACCCCAGCUCCCUCCUCUCCCCCUAGACGCCACUGUCUUAGAGCCUCCAUGUGCAUUUGCUAUGACAUACAUCAGUGUUGAUGAGAGACAGGAACACUGCCGGGUGAUCUCGAGCUGCCAAAAUAAUCAGCUCUGUGCACAACAUGGCUUAAAGGAUUUUUCGGUUAGCAGCAUGCAUCCACUAAAGAACCUAGACACUCACAUUUUUUCUGGGGACUUCCACACUCUAGACUACUGCCACACGGGCAAGGCACCUUUGGCCGGUCCUGUGGAAAACCGGAUGUAUCGGAGCGUGGAGAACCUUCACUGGGCAACAGUUGCUGACUCUGGGCUGUAUUCUCACUGCCGGAGCCUGGAUAAUGAGAUCAUCUUUCGCUAUAGAGGCACCAGUCAGUGGACAGAAGGCUGUGUGGAUGUGGCCCCAGUACAGAGCACGUCGGACUCUCUGAGAAACCUUUCUCUCCAUGCUAAACAGACGUCUCGAUCGGCACAGAACGUGCUCCUCCCUCCCUUUGCCAAAGUGCCUCAGUGGCUCUUCCCUUCUGCAGAGGAAAGAGCCCUACAUGGAGAUGCCAAAAAAGAGCUGAAGGAGAAGCUGAGGCUGCACAGCAGUAAGGUGGCAGAGCCCUGUAAGCCAGUGCGUCCCCAGGUGGCCCUGCCUGACCUGAUGGCCCGGGAGUUCUUUGAGUGCCAGGUGUGUCGGCAGUGCAAGAAUGGUUGUGCUGUCAACUACUGCACGGUGUUGGUGGAACACACUGCCCUCAGGCACAGCCUCACAGGGAAUCAGGGACUGUGCUUUGCACACAGGAUCAUCAGUCCAGAAGACAUCAAGCAGGAGGCUCAGAGGAGGCUUCAGCUCCGAAGGCAGAACAGCUCCCCCAGUUUGCCCCUUCAGCACACGGGGGAAAGCCAUGAGAUGGGCAAAUCCAGAACAGCAGAAACCCUAAAACAAUACAGUGGGGAAACAGAUGGCAAAGUCACAUUGGGACAGAGCAAGAAAGGUCGCUGUAAAGGGAGGCUCUACAUACCCACCUUUGAGGAAUUUAAGCAGAUGAGAAGAAAGGAAGGAAAUUCAUCUGCCAGCAGCAGUGAGACAACAGAGUGCUUGAAUAAGGGUCUGCCUGCAAACCAGACACUAGAGGAGGAAAAGAAUGUCUGUCCAGAAGCUCUGGGGACCAAAGCUGUCAAUGAAUCUGCUGUCACAGCGGAGGAUGAUGACAAUGUAUUCCAUGAAAACCACACCUCUGCUGGCUUUUCCCAGUAUCCAGCCACAUGGGAUGGUUUCAGGAUGAGCAGUCCUGAGCUGAAGGACAAAACUUUCCAGACCUCCAGCCCAGAUACAUUACCAGUCCCUAUUUGCUCCAGUCCAAUUCCACGAUCACCUUUACAGGCAGUAGCAAUACACAGAACUGGGCAGGAGAUCUUGAGUGAUGAGCAACAGAAAGGAGAGACAAGAAAAUUAAAUGAUGUCCUCCACCUUGCAGGGCAGUCCCUGGCUUCUGAAGCCCAGUCCUCUUGCUGUUCAUCGCUGCUGUUAGAAGCCACAGACUUAUCCAGCUAUGGAGCUAAGCUACAAAAAAUGAAGGAUGAAUUCAUAGGUUCAGCCUUGGAACUUAUUAAGAAAAGCUGCAAUGCUGAGACUGCUGCCAAAUCCCCCUCCAAGGGACAGUGUGAUCUGAGGGAAGCUGAUCUCCCACCUCCGGAGGACAGCCAGCAGCCCACAGCGAUGUCCAUGGCAACAGAGACCUGGGAGAACAAGCCAAGCAAUGAGACAGCCAGUGCCACUCCACCUGCAGGGAAUACCCCCAGUCCUGGCUGUCGCCGAUCCAGCUCCGACAUCGUCCAUGAGAGCACGGAUGGUGCCAAGGCCCAGCGGGAGUGCCGGCUGCGGCCACACUUCAGUGACCCUAUGCCGACAGACUCGGUGAAGAGGAAGCAGCUGGAGCUGAAGAUCGCGGCUGCAGCGCGGCAGCACGCGCAGAAACGCCGGCAGGAGCGAGACUAUGGUCCAGUGGUAGCAAAAGCCAACCUCGGCCAUGGUGGCAGCUUUGAUGAGACCCGCCGUGCCCCACGUGGCUCCCUCCGCUCCAGACACCAUUGGAGCAAUGUCAGCAGCCUGAGCACAGACAGUGGGAUUGUUGGCGUGAAUGAUGCCCAGGAUGACCUGGAUCCCAGCGAGGGCACCCGGACCAAGUCAGCAGAUGUGGAGAGGGCAGAUAGUGGCAUUGGCCAAAUGCCAGCCAGGAAGUGGAGGAACAGGGCAUCUGAAACACUGAGCUCCCUGCAGGCCUGGGAAGCCCACCGUCCCUGCACUGACUGUGGAGAAAGGGACCUGCCAGUGGAGACAGAUGUUCAGAACUGCAACCAGAGGCGGGCUGACCUCUGCGAGAAGUGCCGCAAGCGCAGGACGGAGCGCAAGGAGUCUGUGCUGGAGUUUGUCAACACAGAGGCCAGCUAUGGAGAGGACCUGCGCAUCAUUAAGGAGGAGUUCUACCUCCCCAUGCAGGCGGCCGGGCUGCUGAGCCAGGAGCAGCUCCAGGGCAUCUUCAGCAACAUCCAGGAGCUCAUUGACCUCAAUGAGAACUUCCUGGAGAUACUUCAGGAAGAGAUCGAUCAGGCCUUUGACCAGGGGGAUGAUGACCUGAUGACUGUGUGCAUCGGAGAAAUAUUCCUAGAGUUUGUCAACAUGCUGCCGGCCUUCCAGACCUACUGCCUCCAGCAGUCCUCCUCCGUGAACAUGCUCAACGCACUGGAGAAGGAAAAGGAGUUGCUCAGAAUAUUCCUCAAUGUCUCCCAGAAUGACAACACAGCACUGCGGCGGAUGAACUUGAGGUCCUUCCUGAUGGCCCCUCUGCAAAGAGUCACCAAGUACCCAUUGCUGCUCAGCAGAAUCAUCAAGGCCACCACCGAGUACCACCCGGAUCACGGCAGCCUGCGGGAGGCCAAGAGCCGCAUCGAGUCCCACCUGGAGCACAUCAACAUGAAAACCAAGCAGGAGGGGAACACAUGGACCCUCCGAUCCUUUCGCCAGGACAGCAAGAAGAAGAGGGAAGUCAUUAAUAUUGAAAUGAGAGAAACUGCCCUCAAAACUGUUGGUUGGCUGCGGGAGGAAACGCGAUUUGUGAUGGAGGGGUCUCUGCAGCUGGCCCAGCCCCCCGACGGCCAGUGGGUGAAAAAAGGCAGCAAGACCUUGAAGUUCCAGAACAUGCAGGUUCUCCUCCUGGUGAACAUGAAGCGUGUGUCUGAGUCCAGCCUGGAAUCAGCCGAGCCAGGGCCUGUGAAAGAUGCCGUGCUGGUACUCAUCAGGGACAAAAAUAACGGGAAGUUCCAUUUGCUCAGGGAGCCCUUGAGGCUGAGUAAUUGCAUUGUCUCUACUGAUCCCGACUGUGACGACACUUUUGAACUCAUUGAGAUCAGGAGGGAGGCGUUUGUGUUCCGGGACAGUGACCGGGCACGGACUCACCACUGGUUCAGGCAGAUCAGGCGGUACUCCAGGGAGCUGGGCUCCUGGAAGAAGCGACGGAACGCGCUGCCCAACAUCAUGAUCAGCACUCCUCACACCAGGCCCUGAGUCCUGCACAGGCUGACUUGGCUUGACCAAUGUCAUGUGCAGAGACCAUCAAGAGCCUCAGUGGCUUGAACUUGCUGUGCUCCAUGGACAACACAGGGAGGAGUCUGACCCCCAAAGACUCUUAACAGCACUGGAAGCACCACAGCCUAAUGCUGGUCUCCAGCUCAGGACUCACAACCAGUUUGUGACUCAUGUACAUACAGAGAUGGUCUCCCCUCAAGGAGCAGAUCACUGAAGGAAAAUACUGUUUAACUUGUUGAUAUUGCACUGCAGGAGAAUGAUGUAUGAUGCUUGCCAUUGCAUGGAUCGUGUUGAAAGCCAGUCUUGAUGAGAGAGGUUUCCACUACUGACUGUAUUUCAUCAGCAUUAGGCAUUUUAUUUUACAGGAGGAUUCAUACAAGUACAUUUGUGUAUUUCUCCAGAGGUCAACCAGCAUCAGUGGGCACCACCUGAAGGCAGACAGAAGCCACCUUCAUAAAGCAUUCUAGUGCUUCAUUUUGUCCUAGAGGAAAUGGAAAGAUUUGCAUCAUCUGGAGGGUGCUCAAGACGUGAGGGUGGCUGCACAUAGCUGAGCACUGUAGUGAGCAAUAAUUGUCAAAAUGCUUGUCAGGGCAGCAGCCUGGCUCCCUCAGAGAUGGAUGCCUGAGCAGAGCAGCUGCUGGAGGAAAAUUUCUCUUAUGCUGUCAUGACAGAUCUGCAUCUAUGAACCUUCAAGCCCCAUUCACCUCACACGUAAAAAGCAACAGCUUGUAGCACCUUUGUCUUCCCUGCCAGGAUCACAAUGGCGCAGCCAUCUUCUCUUCAUUACCUGCGGGGCAGCUUUGACAAGGCAAGGCAUAGGUACAAGUAAGUGUAACAGAUUAAUUUAUCCAAACAGCAAGUGGCUUUUACAGCCACACAAAGCUGCUGCUUUCUGGAAAGUUUUCAAUUACUUUCCAGCACAGUGAUUUUCUCCACAUCAAUUCAUGCUCAAAACCAGCCGUGGACUGUUUGUACAGUCAUAUCUUUCAAUCAAGAUACCUUCAGCCAGCCUGGCUGUUCAAAAAGGUUAGAGAACAAUAAGUAUACGUAAAAGGUCUGAUAUUUAGCAUCAAGCUUGUGUUGGGCUGAUUGUUCAAUUUGUUAGAUUCAGGGUAUUUCUAGGUAUCACAGGAAGCACCUGCCUGCCAGGCUCCAAGUAAUCAUGGCCUAUUUCCUCUGAACCAAGCAAACUGUCCCCAGAAGAGGGUCCAUAAAUAAUCACAGGGUGUUGAGUUACAAGCAGGACAUGUACUUGGUGCUGUAGUCCUGUCUAAAAAAACCCGUGGCCAGGGAACAAUACAAGCCCUUUGAUCUGGGACAGCCUGCUACGGGAAGCGACAGUGGGAUUGUUGAACCUGUCAAACCAGACAGAGGUUGUGCUUCCAACACACGUGCUUCUUUUAUGUAUCCGAUGUGUACACAGCUGCUUGGCUGCCUGUAAAUUACAGGUGUUGAAAGGGAACUCGAGCAUGGAACAAUCCCUAUGGCCCUGGAGAGCCCGUGAUGUGGGGUGAGGCAGCACAGGAAGGGCGAGGAGUGCCAGCACACUGACAAGGCAGUAGAUUUCCAUAAUCCUUAGACACCUUUCUGAACUGCAUGAUCCCACUCCUGUGACGUUCCAGGUCUUUCAGCAUCACAUGUACAUGUCUUACUUGGCAGCCAUGGAGAUUAGUUGUGCUGUAUUUUUCCAUUUCUGAUUAACAAAUGGACAAAAUGCUAUUAUAACCCAGGGUACUUGGGAACAGGGUUGUCUGUAAGCCAAGAAAGCAAUUAUUUGUUCCAGACUCCAUCAUAUUUUUAUGCCUUUCAUUGUCAUGACUGACAAAGUACUAAGAUUACUUUUCAAGACUCCUGCCCACUGAACUUACCCAGCUAGUACAAAUAGACCUUUCUGGACAUACCACGUCACAGGGAAUAAGAGAAAGUUAGUUACUCCCUUGAUUUAUCAGAACUCAAAAAUGACCUUUAACAAGAAUUUAGUAUAAGCCUUACUGGUCAUUUACCAGGAAAACAACAAAAGGCAGUCUUUAUUUAUAGACUUCAUAUAGUUUUGAGUUCUGAAGGCAGACACACAAGAAGACAAAACACUGGAUUAAGAGCCCCCUGUGAGCUCAGGUCCCAAGGAAAGAAAGAAUAGCUCCUUUAUGAGUCACGAGGCUGGGUGGGAAAGCCUGAAAAAAACAUGGGGAGAUGAAGAGCAAAUACUUUAGAGGGCAGAGACUUCUGCUUUGGUGAACAGAGAUCUCCUUUAUGAUGUCCUUGUACAUUCCUGGUUGUCCUUAACAGAAGUGUGGAUGGGGAAGGGGCAUUCAGUGUG